rnacentral:miRNA from 1 species
GAACACUCUUUGACUUUGGUUUGA